rnacentral:rRNA from 1 species
CAUGAGCAGGUUGAAAGUGCCGUAACAGGCACCGGAGGACCGAACCCACUGUCUUUGAAAAGCCAGGGGAUGACUUGUGGAUAGGGGUGAAAGGCUAAUCAAACUCGGUGAUAGCUGGUUCUCCCCGAAAGCUAUUUAGGUAGCGCCUCGGACGAACACCAUUGGGGGUAGAGCACUGUUUCGGCUAGGGGGUCAUCCCGACUUACCAAACCGAUGCAAACUCCGAAUACCAAUGAGUACUAUCCGGGAGACAGACUGCGGGUGCUAACGUCCGUAGUCAAGAGGAAAACAAUCCAGACCGCCAGCUAAGGCCCCAAAAUUAUAGUUAAGUGGGAAACGAUGUGGGAAGGCAUAGACAGCUAGGAGGUUGGCUUAGAAGCAGCCACCCUUGAAAGAGUGCGUAAUAGCUCACUGGUCAAGUG